rnacentral:rRNA from 1 species
AAUGCAUAGGAAUCUACCCAGUAGUGGGGGAUAACGUGGAGAAAUCCACGCUAAUACCGCAUAUGCCCUACGGGGCAAAGCAGGGGACCUUCGGGCCUUGCGCUAUUGGAUGAGCCUAUGUCGGAUUAGCUUGUUGGUGAGGUAAAAGCUCACCAAGGCAACGAUCCGUAGCUGGUCUGAGAGGAUGAUCAGCCACACUGGGACUGAGACACGGCCCAG